rnacentral:rRNA from 1 species
CCUACGGGAGGCAGCAGUGGGGAAUAUUGCACAAUGGGGGAAACCCUGAUGCAGCGAGGCCGCGGGGAGGAAGAAGGUUUUCGGAUUGUAAACUCCUUUUAUCAGGGACGAGAAUGACGGUACCUGAAGAAAAAGCUCCGGCUAACUACGUGCCAGCAGCCGCGGUAAUACGUAGGGAGCGAGCGUGGUCCGGAAUUACUGGGUGUAAAGGGAGCGUAGGCUGGACGGCAAGUCAGAUGGGAAAACUGAGGGCUCAACUUUCAGACUGCAUUUGAAACUGCGGUUCUUGAGUGAAGUAGUGGUCAGCGGCCUUCCUCGUGUAGCGGUGACCUGCGUAGAUAUUAGGAGGAACCUCGGUGGC